UGAUCUCUAAUGUGAAAAUAGUUUUUAUUUUCCUUAAAGUUAUAGAAUUGCAUUUAUGUAAAUUUAUUUUUAUUAUAGUAAUGCAAAAUAUUAAUAUUCAGAAAUUUAUAAGCAAUCUAUAGAUUAGUCUAUUAUUUUGUUAUGAGGAAUGUGAGACAUAACAAAGAAACACAUAGCUUUCAACCAAUUCACGGCAUCCCUUAUCAUUUUACAUGAAAGAGUUCCCACUUCUCAGCACAAAAAAAAAGAGAAUAAAACAAAGUUAAUCUUCUAUAUAUUUUUAUGGUUACCCCUAGCCGGAAGUAAAUAUCUCUACUGCUCUGCAUUGUCUCAUGAAGCAGCUGAUCAUUCAAUCCUUAUCAUAACCAUAAACGAAAUAUCUAUAAGCACAAUUUCUUAUAGUUACAAAGUAGUAUAAACUGAUUAAGACUCCCCAGAAUCCCUUCCUUCUACAUGUUUCCUCCUUAUCCUCGUACAAUCCAACAACUUGCAAAUACUGAACAAACAAACAUAGUAGAAAUCAGAUCGAAAAUAAAAUACAAUUAGUUCAACAAACAACUUAAGCAUGGUAAACCUUCUCGAGUUCUCGUGUUAUGAUUACAUCAAGCUCUGUGUUCCUCCCAGAAAGAGAGAUAUAGAUUCUAAUAAGCCUUAGCAACCCUAAGGCACGCUUUUUAAAACCCAGGGUUCUAUAAUACCAUACAUGUAUAUCA
rnacentral:lncRNA from 1 species